rnacentral:rRNA from 1 species
UACGUAGGGGGCAAGCGUUGUCCGGAUUUAUUGGGCGUAAAGAGCUCGUAGGCGGUUGGGCAAGUCACGUGUGAAAUCUCCACGCUCAACGUGGAGGCGCCACGUGAGACUGCCCUGACUCGAGUCCGGUAGGGGAGCGUGGAAUUCCCGGUGUAGCGGUGAAAUGCGCAGAGAUCGGGAGGAACACCCGUGGCUAAGGCGGCUCUCUAGUACGGUACUGACGCUGAGACGCGAAAGCGUGGGGAGCGAACAGG